UACGUAGGGGGCAAGCGUUGUCCGGAAUUAUUGGGCGUAAAGAGCUCGUAGGCGGUUUGUCGCGUCUGCUGUGAAAACUCGGGGCUUAACCCCGGGCCUGCAGUGGGUACGGGCAGACUAGGGUGCGGUAGGGGAGACUGGAAUUCCUGGUGUAGCGGUGAAAUGCGCAGAUAUCAGGAGGAACACCGGUGGCGAAGGCGGGUCUCUGGGCCGUAACUGACGCUGAGGAGCGAAAGCGUGGGGAGCGAACAGG
rnacentral:rRNA from 1 species